rnacentral:misc_RNA from 1 species
AACGCACAUUGCGCCCGCCAGUAUUCUGGCGGGCAUGCCUGUUCGAGCGUCAUUUCAACCCUCAAGCUCUGCUUGGUGUUGGGGAUCGGCAAGGCGUCCUCCGGGUCGCGCCGUCCCCCAAAUAUAGUGGCGGUCUCGCUGUAGCUUCCUCUGCGUAGUAAUACACCUCGCUCUGGAGUCUCGGUGCGACCACGCCGUAAAACCCCCAACUUUUUUCUGGUUGACCUCGAAUCAGGUAGGACUACCCGCUGAACUUAA